UACAGAGGGUGCAAGCGUUAAUCGGAAUUACUGGGCGUAAAGGGCGCGUAGGCGGAUAGUUAAGUGAGAUGUGAAAUCCCUGGGCUUAACCUAGGAACUGCAUCUGAAACUGGCUGUCUGGAGUGCGGUAGAGGGUAGUGGAAUUUCCGGUGUAGCGGUGAAAUGCGUAGAUAUCGGAAGGAACACCAGUGGCGAAGGCGGCUACCUGGACUGACACUGACGCUGAGACGCGAAAGCGUGGGGAGCAAACAGG
rnacentral:rRNA from 1 species